rnacentral:rRNA from 1 species
UACAGAGGAUGCAAGCGUUAUCCGGAAUGAUUGGGCGUAAAGCGUCUGUAGGUGGCUUUUUAAGUCCGCCGUCAAAUCCCAGGGCUCAACUCUGGACAGGCGGUGGAAACUACCAAGCUGGAGUACGGUAGGGGCAGAGGGAAUUUCCGGUGGAGCGGUGAAAUGCGUAGAGAUGUGGAGGAACACCUGUGGCGAAGGCGCCUUGCUGGCCGACUUCUGACGCUGAGGCGCGAAAGCGUGGGGAGCAAACAGG